ACUUGGAGAUGAUGAUGAUGAUGAUGAUGAUGAUGAUGAUCAUCAUCAUCAUCAUCAUCAUCAUCAUGACCA
rnacentral:pre_miRNA from 1 species